AUUGAACGCUGGCGGCAGGCCUAACACAUGCAAGUCGAGCGGUAGAGAGAAGCUUGCUUCUCUUGAGAGCGGCGGACGGGUGAGUAAUGCCUAGGAAUCUGCCUGGUAGUGGGGGAUAACGUUCGGAAACGGACGCUAAUACCGCAUACGUCCUACGGGAGAAAGCAGGGGACCUUCGGGCCUUGCGCUAUCAGAUGAGCCUAGGUCGGAUUAGCUAGUUGGUGGGGUAAUGGCUCACCAAGGCGACGAUCCGUAACUGGUCUGAGAGGAUGAUCAGUCACACUGGAACUGAGACACGGUCCAGACUCCUACGGGAGGCAGCAGUGGGGAAUAUUGGACAAUGGGCGAAAGCCUGAUCCAGCCAUGCCGCGUGUGUGAAGAAGGUCUUCGGAUUGUAAAGCACUUUAAGUUGGGAGGAAGGGCAGUUACCUAAUACGUGAUUGUUUUGACGUUACCGACAGAAUAAGCACCGGCUAACUCUGUGCCAGCAGCCGCGGUAAUACAGAGGGUGCAAGCGUUAAUCGGAAUUACUGGGCGUAAAGCGCGCGUAGGUGGUUUGUUAAGUUGGAUGUGAAAUCCCCGGGCUCAACCUGGGAACUGCAUUCAAAACUGACUGACUAGAGUAUGGUAGAGGGUGGUGGAAUUUCCUGUGUAGCGGUGAAAUGCGUAGAUAUAGGAAGGAACACCAGUGGCGAAGGCGACCACCUGGACUGAUACUGACACUGAGGUGCAAAAGCGUGGGGAGCAAACAGGAUUAGAUACCCUGGUAGUCCACGCCGUAAACGAUGUCAACUAGCCGUUGGGGGCCUUGAGCUCUUAGUGGCGCAGCUAACGCAUUAAGUUGACCGCCUGGGGAGUACGGCCGCAAGGUUAAAACUCAAAUGAAUUGACGGGGGCCCGCACAAGCGGUGGAGCAUGUGGUUUAAUUCGAAGCAACGCGAAGAACCUUACCAGGCCUUGACAUCCAAUGAACUUUCUAGAGAUAGAUUGGUGCCUUCGGGAACAUUGAGACAGGUGCUGCAUGGCUGUCGUCAGCUCGUGUCGUGAGAUGUUGGGUUAAGUCCCGUAACGAGCGCAACCCUUGUCCUUAGUUACCAGCACGUAAUGGUGGGCACUCUAAGGAGACUGCCGGUGACAAACCGGAGGAAGGUGGGGAUGGCGUCAAGUCAUCAUGGCCCUUACGGCCUGGGCUACACACGUGCUACAAUGGUCGGUACAGAGGGUUGCCAAGCCGCGAGGUGGAGCUAAUCCCAUAAAACCGAUCGUAGUCCGGAUCGCAGUCUGCAACUCGACUGCGUGAAGUCGGAAUCGCUAGUAAUCGCGAAUCAGAAUGUCGCGGUGAAUACGUUCCCGGGCCU
rnacentral:rRNA from 1 species